rnacentral:rRNA from 1 species
UACGGGGGGGGCAAGCGUUGUUCGGAAUUACUGGGCGUAAAGGGCUCGUAGGCGGCCAACUAAGUCGGACGUGAAAUCCCUCGGCUUAACCGGGGAACUGCGUCCGAUACUGGAUGGCUUGAGUUCGGGAGAGGGAUGCGGAAUUCCAGGUGUAGCGGUGAAAUGCGUAGAUAUCGUGAGGAACACCAGAGGCGAAGGCGGCUACCUGGACAAUUGCUGACGCUCAGGCACGAAAGCGUGGGGAGCAAAAGGG